rnacentral:lncRNA from 1 species
AUUUCAGGAUUUUGGGUCGAUUUUAUGUUUUCGGCCGAGUUUUUUGGGUUUAGGGACGAUUUUAGAUUUUUCGGCCGAUUUUUUCGAUGUUGGCCGAUUUUUUGGUUUUGGGUUUAUGGAUGAUUUUAGAUUCUUCGGCCGAUUUUGGGUUUUCGGUCGAUUUUUGGUUUUUCGGCCGAUUUUUUGGGUUUUCGGCCGAUUUUAGGGUUUAUAGUCGAUUUUUGGAAUUUUGGCCGAUUUUAGGUUUUUCUGCCGAUUUUUUGG